rnacentral:rRNA from 1 species
GACGAACGCUGGCGGCGUGCUUAACACAUGCAAGUCGAACGGAAAGGCCCUGCUUUUGUGGGGUGCUCGAGUGGCGAACGGGUGAGUAACACGUGAGUAACCUGCCCUUGACUUUGGGAUAACUUCAGGAAACUGGGGCUAAUACCGGAUAGGAGCUCCUGCUGCAUGGUGGGGGUUGGAAAGUUUCGGCGGUUGGGGAUGGACUCGCGGCUUAUGAGCUUGUUGGUGGGGUAGUGGCUUACCAAGGCUUUGAAGGGUAGCCGGCCUGAGAGGGUGACCGGCCACAUUAGGACUGGGCUACGGCCCAGACUCCUACGGGAGGCAGCGGUGGAGAAUAUUACACAAUGGGCGGAAGCCUGAUGCAGCAACGCCGCGUGCGGGAUGACGGCCUUCGGGUUGUAAACCGCUUUCGCCUGAGACGAAGCGUUAGUGACGGUACUGGGUGAAGAAGCACCGGCUAACUACGUG